GGAAGGAUCAUUAUCAAUUAAAACGGUUGCGGCACCUCUUCUGGUGCCCAGCCAAACACCUGUGCCUCUGAUGACAGUACAUGACGGUGUUCGCGUGAUUUUCUCGCGUCACCGGCAUCCAAAUUUGUAUGCCAAUAUUUGGACCUUCAACGCCACCAUUUGUUUGGUGACGCUUAAGAACAGUUAAUUCUCAACCUAGUUGAGGAUGAAACAACAAAAAAACUUUCAACAACGGAUGUCUUGGCUCCUGCAUCGAUGAAGAACGCCGCGAAAUGCGAUACGUAAUGUGAAAUGCGAAGCGUGAAUCAUCAAAUCUUCGAACGCAGCUGGCGCCGCUUCGGCGGCAUGCCUAUUUGAGCGUCGUUAAAAAAACCUCGUCCCUCACCCGGAUGGUUGAUGACGUUCCCAGUGAAUUGUUUUUUCAUUGGGUCCGUUGGAAGGCAGAUGCACUCCGCAGCGUCCUUUUGAGGGUGCGCGCACUGAGUUUUUCACAAACACCGUAGUGUGCCCCCAGAAGUGUCCUGGAGCUCUAACACCUCAUAUCACGACCUCAAAUUAGACAAGAGUACCCCCUGAACUGAAGCAUCUCAAUAAGGGGAGGAGAAGAAACUAACAAGGAUGGCCUCAGUAACGGCGAGUGAAGUGGCCAAAGCUCAAAUUUGAAAUCUGUGCCCCCCGGGCACCGAAUUGUAGUUUCAAGGGGCGUUCCGGGAAUCAGCCGGGCAUAAUUGCCCUGGAAAGGGCGGUCACAGAGGGUGAGAACCCCGUCCCUGGUCCGGACCUGAUUCCUGCACGGAGCGUUUCCAACGAGUCGGGCUGUUUGGGACUACAGCCUAAAUUGGGUGGUAGAUGCCAUCUAAAGCCAAAUAACUGCAGGAGACCGAUAGCGAACAAGUAGUGUGAACGAAAGAUGAAAAGCACUUUGAAAAGAGGGCCAAAAGAACCUGAAAUUGUUGAAAUGGAAGCGAUCGAAAUCAGAAGUGUCUGGUUCGGUACUAGGCUGCUGGCCGCGCAGAGUUGGCUCGUUUCACCGCAAGGGAAUGCGGGCUUGCUGCGGCGUGGCGCUGGGCUGAUUUACCGGAUCGGGUGGCCAGCAUCGGCUUGGUGCACAGCAGAAGGCCGUGUGAAAGGUAGGGAAUCAGCCGCAAGGCAGUUCCUGUUAUAGACAUGCGGAGAUGCUGUGUGCUGGGCCGAGGGAAUCCUUCGAGAGCAAAACGCGCGCCUCGGCAAUCCGCCGUUGAGCACUGUGUAAAAAGCAGUGUUUGGCUGGCGAUCAGCGUGUUCAGGAUGCUGGCGAAUUGGUUUCUAUCGACCCGUCUUGAAACGUGAGUCUUCAUUUCUUCUCCACCUCCCCAAAAAACUAUCUUCAAAAGCUAACUUUUGUUCUCUCACUCUCUUUAGACGGACCAAGGAGUCUAACGGCGGCGCGAGUAGUGGGGCGGAAAACCCCCAUGCGUAAAUGAAAGUGAAGGCACCGCAAGGCGCUGAGGUGGGAGUCCUGUUGCGAAAACGGGAUGCAGCACCGACCGAUCUGGAGUCGUUGACGAAAGAUUUGAGUAUGAGCGUCGCCGCUAGGACCCGAAAGAUGGCGAACUUUGCCUGGGUAGGCUGAAGUCAGACGAAAGUCUGAUGGAGGGCUAUAGAGAUACUGACGUGCAAAUCGUUCUUGGGACUUGGGCAAAGGGGCGAAAGGUGAGUUUGUUAUUUGGCACGGCGUCGAGAAGAAUUUGUGAAUGAAACUGUGAACUGACCGAAUUUUCUUCUUUUUAUUUUUAUAACAGACUAAUCGAGCCGUAAGUUGAACUUGUAUUAUCUGAUUUUUGCAGGAACAUGUCAACUGACAUUUACUUUUUCUAAUUAUUUAGAUCUAGUAGCUGGUUCCCUC
rnacentral:misc_RNA from 1 species